rnacentral:rRNA from 1 species
ACACGUGGAAGAUAAGAGAGAAAAAGAGAUUGGGUGUUCCCCCCCUUAAUGGUGCAGAUAACACACUAAGCACUCCGCGCGGGGAGUGUGGCAGCAAAGGUGUGAAACAAAGGAGUUGACGGGGGCCCCCGCAAGCGGGGGAGCAUGUGUUUUAUUAUGAAGCAACGCGAAAAACCCUUCACAUGUUGACAUCUUCUGACCCCUCUAGAGAUAGAGUUUUCCCCUUUGGGGGACAGAGUGACAGGUGGUGCAUGGUUGUCGUCAGCUCGUGUCGUGAGAUGUUGGGUUAAGUCCCGCAACGAGCGCAACCCUUAAGUUUAGUUGCCAUCAUGUAAGUUGGGCACCCUAAGUUGACUGCCGGUGACUAACCCGGAGGAAGGUGGGGAUGACGUCAAAUCAUCAUGCCCCUUAUGAUUUGGGUUACACACGUGCUCCAAUGGACAAUACAAAGGGCAGCGAAUCCGCGAGGUCAAGCAAAUCCCAUAAAGUUGUUCUCAGUUCGGAUUGUAGUCUGAAAUUCGCUUAAAUGAAGCUGGAAUCGUUAGUAAUCGUAGAUCACCAUGCUCCGGUGAAUCCGUUCCCGGGUCUUGUACACACCGCCCGUCACACCACGAGAGUUUUUAACACCCGAAGCCGGUGGAGUACCCAUUGGAGCCAGCCG